rnacentral:lncRNA from 1 species
GGCUCUGCCUCUCCCUCAAACCUUGUCUCCUGUGUGUUUGGCUUUUGAAAAACAAACCCUGGACUUUGUGUUUCCCAUCUCGCCCAGUGUCAGAGAAACGUGGGCAGAAGGAGAGAACGGAGAAUGUUAGUGAAGAAAAAAAAAAACAAAAACCUGAGUGAACAGCACAGACUGUCACCCACCACAGUGGCUUGAGAAUCAUGCAUGGAGUGUCUUCUGGACCCUGAGGUGGCACACGUGGCUUCUCCUUUCUCACUGCCCUGGCUUAGGACUGCGGUCAGAUGCCCAGGUUCCAGCUGCCCUGUCUCACAUCAGCGCUGCCACUGUCUUGACCUUGCCCAUGGAAAGCAGCAACUCCAGCAUUGCCCCCAUCAUGUCUAUUGCUGUGGGAACCUCCGUGGAUCUGGAACCCAGGCUGUAUGGUCAGGUCAGUCAAGAUGGCUGUUCUCUUGUUCUCUGUACAUCCCCUGAUGGACUGGUCCUUGCUCCACCUAUAUCCUACUCGCAUGACCGACCUUCCCUCUUAGUACGUACUUGCCC